UGAGGAAUUUUGCGCAAUGGCCGCAAGGCUGACGCAGCAACGCCGCGUGGGUGAAGAAGGCCUUCGGGUCGUAAAGCCCUGUCAGGUGGGAAGAAAUCCCCGGAGCGAACAGUGUCCGGGGCUUGACGGUACCACCAGAGGAAGCACCGGCUAACUCCGUGCCAGCAGCCGCGGUAAUACGGAGGGUGCGAGCGUUAUUCGGAAUUAUUGGGCGUAAAGCGCGUGCAGGCGGCCGAGCAAGUCUGAUGUGAAAGCCCCGGGCUUAACCUGGGAAGUGCAUUGGAAACUGCUUGGCUUGAGUACUGGAGAGGAAGGGGGAAUUCCCGGUGUAGAGGUGAAAUUCGUAGAGAUCGGGAGGAAUACCAGUGGCGAAGGCGCCCUUCUGGACGGUUACUGACGCUGAGACGCGAAAGCGUGGGGAGCAAACAGG
rnacentral:rRNA from 1 species